CCUACGGGAGGCAGCAGUGAGGAAUAUUGGUCAAUGGGCGAGAGCCUGAACCAGCCAAGUCGCGUGAAGGAUGACGGCCCUACGGGUUGUAAACUUCUUUUGUCAGGGAGCAAUUGGGUCCACGCGUGGGCUUAGCGAGAGUACCUGAAGAAAAAGCAUCGGCUAACUCCGUGCCAGCAGCCGCGGUAGUACGGAGGAUGCGAGCGUUAUCCGGAUUUAUUGGGUUAAAAGGGUGCGUAGGCGGAAUAUCAAGUCAGCGGUAAAAAUUCGGGGCUAAACCCCGUCGUGCCGUUGAGACUGAUGGUCUUGAGUGGGCGAGAGGUAUGCGGAAUGCGUGGUGUAGCGGUGAAAUGCAUAGAUAUCACGCAGAACUCCGAUGGCGAAGGCGACAUACCGGCGCCCAACUGACGCUGAAGCACGAAAGCGUGGGUAUCGAACAGGAUUAGAUACCCCUGUAGUC
rnacentral:rRNA from 1 species